UACGGAGGAUGCGAGCGUUAUCCGGAUUUAUUGGGUUUAAAGGGUGCGCAGGCGGCACGGCAAGCCGGCGGUCAAAUCGCGGGGCUCAACCCCGCCCAGCCGUCGGAACUGCCGGGCUAGAGUGGGCGAGAAGUGCGCGGAAUGCGUGGUGUAGCGGUGAAAUGCAUAGAUAUCACGCAGAACCCCGAUUGCGAAGGCAGCCUUCCGGCGCCCUACUGACGCUGAGGCACGAAAGUGCGGGGAUCAAACAGG
rnacentral:rRNA from 1 species